AUUGAACGCUGGCGGCAUGCCUUACACAUGCAAGUCGAACGGCAGCACGGGUGCUUGCACCUGGUGGCGAGUGGCGCACGGGUGAGUAAUACAUCGGAACAUGUCCUGUAGUGGGGGAUAGCCCGGCGAAAGCCGGAUUAAUACCGCAUCCGAUCUACGGAUGAAAGCGGGGGACCUUCGGGCCUCGCGCUAUAGGGAUGGCUGAUGGCUGAUUAGCUAGUUGGUGGGGUAAAGGCCUACCAAGGCGACGAUCAGUAGCUGGUCUGGGAGGACGACCAGCCACACUGGGACUGAGACACGGCCCAGACUCCUACGGGAGGCAGCAGUGGGGAAUUUUGACCACAGGGCGCAAGCCUGCUCCAGCACUGCCGCGUGUGUGAAGAAGGCCUUCGGGUUGUAAAGCACUUUUGUCCGGAAAGAAAUCCUUGGCCCUAAUACGGUCGGGGGAUGACGGUACCGGAAGAAUAAGCACCGGCUAACUACGUG
rnacentral:rRNA from 1 species